rnacentral:rRNA from 1 species
GACGAACGCUGGCGGCGUGCUUAACACAUGCAAGUCGAACGGUGAAGCGCCUUCCUUUUUGGUGGGUGUGGAUGAGUGGCGAACGGGUGAGUAACACGUGAGUAACCUGCCCCCUUCUUCUGGAUAACCGCAUGAAAGUGUGGCUAAUACGGGAUAUUCUGGGUCUGUCGCAUGAUGGGUCUGGGAAAGAUAUUGUUUCGGUGGGGGAUGGGCUCGCGGCCUAUCAGCUUGUUGGUGGGGUGAUGGCCUACCAAGGCGGUGACGGGUAGCCGGCCUGAGAGGGUGGAUGGUCACACUGGGACUGAGACACGGCCCAGACUCCUACGGGAGGCAGCAGUGGGGAAUAUUGCACAAUGGGCGCAAGCCUGAUGCAGCGACGCCGCGUGAGGGAUGGAGGCCUUCGGGUUGUGAACCUCUUUCGCCAGUGAAGCAGGCCUGCCUCGUUUGUGGGUGGGUUGACGGUAGCUGGAUAAGAAGCGCCGGCUAACUACGUG